AUACGUAGGGGGCGAGCGUUGUCCGGAAUGAUUGGGCGUAAAGGGCGCGUAGGCGGCCCGGUAAGUCUGGAGUGAAAGUCCUGUUUUUAAGAUGGGAAUUGCUUUGGAUACUGUCGGGCUUGAGUGCAGGAGAGGUAAGUGGAAUUCCCAGUGUAGCGGUGAAAUGCGUAGAGAUUGGGAGGAACACCAGUGGCGAAGGCGACUUACUGGACUGUAACUGACGCUGAGGCGCGAAAGUGUGGGGAGCAAACAGGAUUAGAUACCCUGGUAGUCCACACUGUAAACGAUGAAUGCUAGGUGUAGGGGGUAUCGACCCCUUCUGUGCCGCAGUCAACACAAUAAGCAUGCCGCCUGGGGAGUACGGCCGCAAGGUUGAAACCCAAAGGA
rnacentral:rRNA from 1 species